CAGGCCUAACACAUGCAAGUCGGACGGGAUCCAUCGGAGAGCUUGCUCGAAGAUGGUGAGAGUGGCGCACGGGUGCGUAACGCGUGAGCAACCUACCUCUAUCAGGGGGAUAGCCUCUCGAAAGAGAGAUUAACACCGCAUAAUAUCAACAGUUCGCAUGUUCGGUUGAUUAAAUAUUUAUAGGAUAGAGAUGGGCUCGCGUGACAUUAGCUAGUUGGUAGGGUAACGGCUUACCAAGGCGACGAUGUCUAGGGGCUCUGAGAGGAGAAUCCCCCACACUGGUACUGAGACACGGACCAGACUCCUACGGGAGGCAGCAGUAAGGAAUAUUGGUCAAUGGGCGGAAGCCUGAACCAGCCAUGCCGCGUGCAGGAUGACUGCCCUAUGGGUUGUAAACUGCUUUUGUCCAGGAAUAAACCUAAAUACGUGUAUUUAGCUGAAUGUACUGGAAGAAUAAGGAUCGGCUAACUCCGUGCCAGCAGCCGCGGUAAUACGGAGGAUCCGAGCGUUAUCCGGAUUUAUUGGGUUUAAAGGGUGCGUAGGCGGCCUAUUAAGUCAGGGGUGAAAUACGGUGGCUCAACCAUCGCAGUGCCUUUGAUACUGAUGGGCUUGAAUCCAUUUGAAGUGGGCGGAAUAAGACAAGUAGCGGUGAAAUGCAUAGAUAUGUCUUAGAACUCCGAUUGCGAAGGCAGCUCACUAAGCUGGUAUUGACGCUGAUGCACGAAAGCGUGGGGAUCGAACAGGAUUAGA
rnacentral:rRNA from 1 species